rnacentral:rRNA from 1 species
GAUGAACGCUGGCGGCGUGCUUAACAUAUGCAAGUCGAACGAGGUACAAGGACGGAAGUUUUCGGAUGGAAGACCUUGUACUGAGUGGCGGACGGGUGAGUAACGCGUGGGAAACCUGCCCUGUUCCGGGGGAUACCAGUUGGAAACGACUGUUAAUACCGCAUAAGCGCACAGCACCGCAUGGUGCAGUGUGAAAAACUCCGGUGGAACAGGAUGGUCCCGCGUCUGAUUAGGCAGUUGGCAGGGUAACGGCCUACCAAACCGACGAUCAGUAGCCGGCCUGAGAGGGUGAACGGCCACAUUGGGACUGAGACACGGCCCAA